GAUGAACGCUGGCGGCGUGCCUAAUACAUGCAAGUCGAACGGAGGUCAGCAAUGAUCUCAGUGGCGAACGGGUGAGUAACGCGUUGGUAACCUGCCCUGGAGAGAGGGAUAACAGGCCGAAAGGCUUGCUAAUACCGCAUGAGCAGUGAAGGAAUAGCAGCUUCACUGUAAAGGAGUAAUCCGCUCUGGGAGGGGCCUGCGACCCAUCAGCUAGUUGGUAAGGUAACGGCUUACCAAGGCGAUGACGGGUAGGGGACCUGAGAGGGUGGCCCCCCACAAUGGACCUGAAACACGGUCCAUACACCUACGGGUGGCAGCAGUAGGGAAUAUUGCAUAAUGGGCGAAAGCCUGAUGCAGCAACGCCGCGUGUGCGAUGAAGGCCUUCGGGUUGUAAAGCACUUUUAGCAGGGAAGAGGAAGGACGGUACCUGCUGAAUAAGCCUCGGCUAACUACGUGCCAGCCGCCGCGGUAACAC
rnacentral:rRNA from 1 species